ACUACGGGUGGCAGCAGUGGGGGAUAUUGCACAAUGGGGGAAACCCUGAUGCAGCGACGCCGCGUGUGGGAAGACGGUCCUCUGGAUUGUAAACCACUGUCCCCAGGGACGAAGAUGACGGUACCUGGGGAGGAAGCUCCGUCUAACUACGUGCCAGCAGCCGCGGUAAUACGUAGGGAGCGAGCGUUGUCCGGAAUUACGGGGUGUAAAGGGAGCGUAGGCGGGACUGCAAGUUGGGUGUCAAAUCUACCGGCUCAACCGGUAGCCGCACUCAAAACUGCAGUUCUUGAGUGAAGUAGAGGCAGGCGGAAUUCCUAGUGUAGCGGUGAAAUGCGUAGAUAUUAGGAGGAACACCAGUGGCGAAGGCGGCCUGCUGGGCUUUUACUGACGCUGAGGCUCGAAAGUGUGGGGAGCAAACAGGAUUAGAUACCCUGGUAGUC
rnacentral:rRNA from 1 species